CUUGGUCAUUUAGAGGAAGUAAAAGUCGUAACAAGGUCUCCGUAGGUGAACCUGCGGAGGGAUCAUUACAGAGCUUUUGCCCGUAAGGGUAGAUCUCCCACCCUAUGUUAUAUUUACCUCUGUUGCUUUGGCGGGCCGCCCUGGCCUCGGUCAGGCUACCGGCUCCGGCGGGUAAGCGCCCGCCAGAGGACCCUAAACUCUGAAUAUCAGUGUCGUCUGAGUACUAUACAAUAGUUAAAACUUUCAACGACGGAUCUCUUGGUUCUGGCAUCGAUGAAGAACGCAGCGAAAUGCGAUAAGUAAUGUGAAUUGCAGAAUUCAGUGAAUCAUCGAAUCUUUGAACGCACAUUGCGCCCCUUGGUAUUCCGAGGGGCAUGCCUGUUCGAGCGUCAUUUCAACCCUCAAGCACAGCUUGGUCUUGGGCUUCGCCGCUAACCCGGCGGGUCUUAAAAUCAGUGGCGGUGCCGUCGGGCCCUGAGCGCAGUAAUCUCUCUCGCUAUAGGGUCCCGGCGGAUGCUGGCCAGUAACCCCCAAUUUUCUAUGGUUGACCUCGGAUCAGGUAGGGAUACCCGCUGAACUUAAGCAUAUCAAUAAGCGGAGGA
rnacentral:rRNA from 1 species